GAUGAACGCUGGCGGCGUGCCUAAUACAUGCAAGUCGAGCGAACAGAUGAGGAGCUUGCUCCUCUGACGUUAGCGGCGGACGGGUGAGUAACACGUGGAUAACCUACCUAUAAGACUGGGAUAACUACGGGAAACCGGAGCUAAUACUGGAUAAUAUAUUGAACCGCAUGGUUCAAUAGUGAAAGACGGUUUUGCUGUCACUUAUAGAUGGAUCCGCGCCGCAUUAGCUAGUUGGUAAGGUAACGGCUUACCGAGGCAACGAUGCGUAGCCGACCUGAGAGGGUGAUCGGCCACACUGGAACUGAGACACGGUCCAGACUCCUACGGGAGGCAGCAGUAGGGAAUCUUCCGCAAUGGGCGAAAGCCUGACGGAGCAACGCCGCGUGAGUGAUGAAGGUCUUCGGAUCGUAAAACUCUGUUAUUAGGGAAGAACAAAUGUGUAAGUAACUAUGCACGUCUUGACGGUACCUAAUCAGAAAGCCACGGCUAACUACGUG
rnacentral:rRNA from 1 species